rnacentral:misc_RNA from 1 species
ACCCGCUCAAAGAGAGAGAACGAAAUGGGUUCUCUAAGAAAUGGAGCAGAGACAGAAAGAUGCAGAGAAGACGAAGAACAAGAGGAGCCAAUACUAAAGGAACAGAACCAGAGAUUUUGUAUGUUUCCCAUCAGAUAUAAGCAACUUUGGGAGAUGUACAAGAAGGCUGAGGCCAGUUUUUGGACCGCUGAAGAGGUUGAUCUCUCCCAGGAUGUGCAGCAAUGGGAAGCUCUGUCUGUUCCAGAGAAACACUUUAUCAGCCACGUAUUGGCAUUUUUUGCUGCAUCUGAUGGGAUUGUUUUGGAGAACCUAGCGGCAAGAUUUCUAAGUGAUGUUCAAAUUCCA